rnacentral:lncRNA from 1 species
GGUGGGUGGGGUUGUCCAAACAGUGAAGAGUAACUCCAGCACUCUUUGGUUAUAGGAGACAGAGUCAACUAAUGAGAGCCACGGCAAUGUUUGACUGGUAAAGAUCACGUUUGUAGUAGAGGUGGGCAAAAGGAGAAAGGGACCAUCUGCCUCCUGUGUUUCACCUUGCCCCAGACUCUCCCCACUGCCCAGACAUCCUGCAGCAGUUUGCAAGCAUGGCUUGCAAGGACUAGACAGGUGCUGCCAGAGACAAAUGCCAUGACGGACCCUUGGGAAGGAAAGCGCAAUGCUGCUGUCAAACCAACACACACAAGGCCAGGAAGCGAAGGA